rnacentral:lncRNA from 1 species
AAUUAAUUGACCGUUGUGGAACUUUUGCUUCAAUAAUAGCCAUAGUCCAAAUGUGACGUUACCAAAUUGAACAGGCCUACUGAAUAUGAUUGGUCGCGAAGAGUAUUGAAGAAGAGAAAAACAACUGUGUGUAUAUUUAGUAUCUUAAAGCAAAUCGAUGUCAGUGUAAAGUAAAUUUACUACGGGAACAAGACUAUACAAUAUUAUAAUAGCUAUCUUAUUUUGCUAUUGACACGGGUUUGCGAUUUACAACUAGAUUCUCUGAAAAACGUCAAUAAUCCGGC